rnacentral:lncRNA from 1 species
CUGGGAGCUGGAAUUCUGCACAGGCGAGUCUCCCCAGAGGCUGGAUUCUGGCCCUGAGGGUACCAGGCUGGCCCAGGAACACCCCUGAGAUACUCCCAAAUGAGGUCACAGUUGGGUGGGGACACACACACCGCAGCUGAUCCUUACUGUGCACCGCAGAAGAUCCAGCGGAGGUCUGGAGCUGACAGUGAGAGAAGAGCCGUGCAUUCCUCGUGGGAAGGGCAGCGGAGUCUUCAAUGGAGGGGAGCUAUGAACUUGGCCAGGCUGCGUGAGGAGGGGACAUCAGCCCAGAGGGAUGGGAAAAGGAAGGCACAGAGAGGCCAAGGAACUUGCCCAAACACACAGCAGAUCAGCCCAGAGCUGGGAGUCAGCCCAGGAGGCGCUCCAGAGGCCACACUGUUCACACGUCUGCCUUAAGGGAGAAGAACGCUGGUGGAAGAUUGCUGUCCACUCCGGCCCAGGGCUGCCUCCAGGUACCUCUUCUGGUACCGGAGAGAAGCCAGGCCCCCAGACUCUCUCCAGCCGGCAGGUCGAGGGCUG